rnacentral:rRNA from 1 species
GAUGAACGCUGGCGGCGUGCCUAAUACAUGCAAGUCGAGCGAACGGACGAGAAGCUUGCUUCUCUGAUGUUAGCGGCGGACGGGUGAGUAACACGUGGAUAACCUACCUAUAAGACUGGGAUAACUUCGUGAAACCGGAGCUAAUACCGGAUGAUAUUUUGAACCGCAUGGUUCAAAAGUGAAAGACGGUCUUGCUGUCACUUAUAGAUGGAUCCGCGCUGCAUUAGCUAGUUGGUAAGGUAACGGCUUACCAAGGCAACGAUGCAUAGCCGACCUGAGAGGGUGAUCGGCCACACUGGAACCGAGACACGGUCCAGACUCCUACGGGAGGCAGCAGUAGGGAAUCUUCCGCAAUGGGCGAAAGCCUGACGGAGCAACGCCGCGUGAGGGAUGAAGGUCUUCGGAUCGUAAAACUCUGUUAGUAGGGAAGAACAUAUGUGUAAGUAACUGUGCACAUCUUGACGGUACCUAAUCAGAAAGCCACGGCUAACUACGUG